UGGGGAAUAUUGGACAAUGGGCGCAAGCCUGAUCCAGCCAUGCCGCGUGAGUGAUGAAGGCCCUAGGGUUGUAAAGCUCUUUCACCGGUGAAGAUAAUGACGGUAACCGGAGAAGAAGCCCCGGCUAACUUCGUGCCAGCAGCCGCGGUAAUACGAAGGGGGCUAGCGUUGUUCGGAUUUACUGGGCGUAAAGCGCACGUAGGCGGUGAUGUAAGUCUGAGGUGAAAACCCGAAGCUCAACUUCGGGACUGCCUUGGAUACUGCGUCACUUGAGGAUAGGAGAGGCAAGGGGAAUUCCACGUGUAGCGGUGAAAUGCGUAGAGAUGUGGAGGAACACCUGUGGCGAAGGCGCCUUGCUGGCCUAUUUCUGACGCUGAGGCGCGAAAGCGUGGGGAGCAAACAGG
rnacentral:rRNA from 1 species